rnacentral:rRNA from 1 species
GUGGAUUAGAUACCCUGGUAGUCCACGCCGUAAACGAUGGGUACUAGGUGCCUGGGGGAGCGACCCCUUGGGUGCCGGCGCUAACGCAGGAAGUACCCCGCCUGGGGAGUACGACCGCAAGGUUGAAACUCAAAGGAAUUGACGGGGGCCCGCACAAGCGGUGGAGCAUGUGGUUUAAUUCGACGCAACGCGAAGAACCUUACCUAGGCUUGACAUGCAUGGGAAACUCCUCAGAAACGAGGAGCCUCCUUCGGGAUCCAUGCACAGGUGCUGCAUGGCCGUCGCCAGCU